GUGCCAGCCGCCGCGGUAAUACGUAGGGUGCGAGCGUUGUCCGGAAUUAUUGGGCGUAAAGAGCUCGUAGGCGGCUUGUCGCGUCGGAUGUGAAAGCCCGGGGCUUAACCCUGGGUCUGCAUUCGAUACGGGCAGGCUGGAUUUCGGUAGGGAGAUCGGAAUUCCUGGUGUAGCGGUGAAAUGCGCAGAUAUCAGGAGGAACACCGGUGGCGAAGGCGGAUCUCUGGGCCGAUACUGACGCUGAGGAGCGAAAGCAUGGGGAGCGAACAGGAUUAGAUACCCUGGUAGUCCAUGCCGUAAACGUUGGGCACUAGGUGUGGGCGACAUUCCACGUUGUCCGUGCCGCAGCUAACGCAUUAAGUGCCCCGCCUGGGGAGUACGGCCGCAAGGCUAAAACUCAAAGGAAUUGACGGGGCCCGCACAAGCGGCGGAGCAUGUGGCUUAAUUCGACGCAACGCGAAGAACCUUACAAGGCUUGACAUACACCAGAUCGCCGCAGAGAUGUGGUUU
rnacentral:rRNA from 1 species